rnacentral:sRNA from 1 species
UGACCACUUCGAUUUCUUAUGAAGUUAAGACCCAGACGGACAGGCGGGUCAGCUGCCGA